GCCGGCAGUGUCCCAAAUCUGGGCCUUGACGACCUUGCCGUCGACAUAGAGGGAGCAGGUGGCGAACUCGACCCUGAUGGUGGACUUGGACUCGAGGGUGAACUCGUUGCGGGUGAAGCGGGAGAGCAGGUUGGACUUGCCGAUGCCGGAGUCGCCGAUGAGGACGACCUUGAAGAGGUAGUCGUGGUUGUCCUCCGCCCGGUACACCGCCGCCAUUGCUGUCGUCGCGUCGGCGAUCUUGUUGUGGGGGUGGGGAAGGAGGGGCGAAAGGGGAUGGUGGGGGAGGGAGGAGAUGGGAGGCGACGAGGUGGAUGGCGGAGCGAUGGGGGACGGGGAGGAGAUGGUGGAGAGGUCGGCGGUGGUGGGUAG
rnacentral:rRNA from 1 species